CCUACGGGUGGCAGCAGUGGGGAAUAUUGGACAAUGGGCGAAAGCCUGAUCCAGCCAUGCCGCGUGUGUGAAGAAGGCCUUCGGGUUGUAAAACACUUUCAGUGGGGAAGAAAGCCUUGGGGCUAAUACCCUCGAGGAAGGACAUCACCCACAGAAGAAGCACCGGCUAACUCCGUGCCAGCAGCCGCGGUAAUACGGAGGGUGCGAGCGUUAAUCGGAAUUACUGGGCGUAAAGCGCGCGUAGGCGGUCUGAUAAGCCGGUUGUGAAAGCCCCGGGCUCAACCUGGGAACGGCAUCCGGAACUGUCAGGCUAGAGUGCAGGAGAGGAAGGUAGAAUUCCCGGUGUAGCAGUGAAAUGCGUAGAGAUCGGGAGGAAUACCAGUGGCGAAGGCGGCCUUCUGGACUGACACUGACGCUGAGGUGCGAAAGCGUGGGUAGCAAACAGGAUUAGAUACCCUUGUAGUC
rnacentral:rRNA from 1 species